AUUAUUAGUCCACACCGUAGCCGACUUCAUUCAAGCACAGUGGAAGCACUCAUGUGUUCUCGAGACUGAUUCAAACUCUACUCGUGUUGAAGAUUCUUCAUUCGGUGAUGAUACUGAUGUGAAUGUGGCCUCUUUUGGUGACAACGAGUUGAUGAUACUUUGUGAUUGAACGUGUUCGAAACACAGAUUUCAAUUAGAUGAAAUUAUAUGAAAUAAUAGAGGGUUAACUCAGUUUUGUGAUGAAUUAGAUGAAAUUUGGUUGGUUUCGUAUGGUUGUUUUUUGUUAUCAGAAACACAGAUUUAUGAGCUGUUGCU